rnacentral:rRNA from 1 species
AGAGUUUGAUCAUGGCUCAGGAUGAACGCUGGCGGUAUGCUUAACACAUGCAAGUCGAACGGAAUCCUUCGGGAUUUAGUGGCGGACGGGUGAGUAACGCGUGAGAAUCUGCCUUCAGGUUCGGGACAACCAUUGGAAACGGUGGCUAAUACCGGAUGCGCCCUAGGGUAAAAGGUUAACUGCCUGAAGAUGAGCUCGCGUCUGAUUAGCUAGUUGGUGGGGUAAGAGCUUACCAAGGCGACGAUCAGUAGCUGGUCUGAGAGGAUGAUCAGCCACACUGGGACUGAGACACGGCCCAGACUCCUACGGGAGGCAGCAGUGGGGAAUUUUCCGCAAUGGGCGAAAGCCUGACGGAGCAAUACCGCGUGAGGGAGGAAGGCUCUUGGGUUGUAAACCUCUUUUCUCAGGGAAGAACACAAUGACGGUACCUGAGGAAUCAGCAUCGGCUAACUCCGUGCCAGCCGCCGCGGUAAUUC